AGAGUUUGAUCAUGGCUCAGAUUGAACGCUGGCGGCAUGCCUUACACAUGCAAGUCGAACGGCAGCACGGGAGCUUGCUCCUGGUGGCGAGUGGCGAACGGGUGAGUAAUAUAUCGGAACGUGCCCUAGAGUGGGGGAUAACUAGUCGAAAGAUUAGCUAAUACCGCAUACGAUCUACGGAUGAAAGUGGGGGAUCGCAAGACCUCAUGCUCAUGGAGCGGCCGAUAUCUGAUUAGCUAGUUGGUGGGGUAAAAGCUCACCAAGGCGACGAUCAGUAGCUGGUCUGAGAGGACGACCAGCCACACUGGAACUGAGACACGGUCCAGACUCCUACGGGAGGCAGCAGUGGGGAAUUUUGGACAAUGGGCGCAAGCCUGAUCCAGCAAUGCCGCGUGAGUGAAGAAGGCCUUCGGGUUGUAAAGCUCUUUUGUCAGGGAAGAAACGGUCUUGGUUAAUACCUGGGGCUAAUGACGGUACCUGAAGAAUAAGCACCGGCUAACUACGUGCCAGCAGCCGCGGUAAUACGUAGGGUGCAAGCGUUAAUCGGAAUUACUGGGCGUAAAGCGUGCGCAGGCGGUUAUACAAGACAGAUGUGAAAUCCCCGGGCUCAACCUGGGAAUUGCAUUUGUGACUGUAUGGCUAGAGUGUGUCAGAGGGGGGUAGAAUUCCACGUGUAGCAGUGAAAUGCGUAGAUAUGUGGAGGAAUACCGAUGGCGAAGGCAGCCCCCUGGGAUAACACUGACGCUCAUGCACGAAAGCGUGGGGAGCAAACAGGAUUAGAUACCCUGGUAGUCCACGCCCUAAACGAUGUCUACUAGUUGUCGGGUCUUAAUUGACUUGGUAACGCAGCUAACGCGUGAAGUAGACCGCCUGGGGAGUACGGUCGCAAGAUUAAAACUCAAAUGAAUUGACGG
rnacentral:rRNA from 1 species